rnacentral:rRNA from 1 species
UACGUAGGGUGCAAGCGUUAAUCGGAAUCACUGGGCGUAAAGGGAGCGUAGGCGGCGUGGUAAGUCAGAUGUGAAAUCCCGGGGCUCAACCCCGGAACUGCAUCCGAUACUGCCGUGCUUGAGGGUUGGAGAGGUAGCUGGAAUUAUCGGUGUAGCAGUGAAAUGCGUGGAUAUCGAUAGGAACACCGGUGGCGAAGGCGGCAUCCUGGACCGGCAUUGACGCUGAGGCGCGAAAGCCAGGGGAGCAAACGGG